UGUGACACUUUUCAAUUGUUCAGUCUCUUGC
rnacentral:piRNA from 1 species